CCUACGGGAGGCAGCAGUAGGGAAUCUUUCACAAUGGGCGAAAGCCUGAUGGAGCAACGCCGCGUGCAGGAUGAAGGCCUUCGGGUUGUAAACUGCUUUUAUAAGCGAGAAAUAUGAUGGUAACUUAUGAAUAAGGAUCGGCUAACUACGUGCCAGCAGCCGCGGUCAUACGUAGGAUCCGAGCAUUAUCCGGAGUGACUGGGUGUAAAGGGUUGCGUAGGUGGCAUAAUAAGUAGCUGGUGAAAUCUGGUGGCUCAAACAUUCAGACUAUUAGCUAAACUGUUAAGCUCGAGACCGUUAGGGGUAACUGGAAUUUCUAGUGUAGGAGUGAAAUGCGUAGAUAUAAGAAGGAACACCAAUAGCGUAGGCAGGUUACUGGGACGGUUCUGACACUAAGGCACGAAAGCGUAGGGAGCAAACGGGAUUAGAUACCCGUGUAGUC
rnacentral:rRNA from 1 species